rnacentral:piRNA from 1 species
UGCACAUUAAGAACUUUGUGCCGGGUGCGGU